UACGAAAGGCCCAAACAUUAUCCGGAAUUACUGGGCUUAAAGAGUUCGUAGGCGGCAUGGUAAGUAGGGUGUGAAAUCCCUCGGCUCAACCGAGGAAUUGCGCUCUAAACUACCGUGCUCGAGGAAGCUAGAGGUGAGCGGAACUGAUGGUGGAGCGGUGAAAUGCGUUGAUAUCAUCAGGAACACCGGAGGCGAAGGCGGCUCACUGGGGCGUUUCUGACGCUGAGGAACGAAAGCCAGGGUAGCGAACGGG
rnacentral:rRNA from 1 species